rnacentral:rRNA from 1 species
UACAGAGGUCUCAAGCGUUGUUCGGAUUCAUUGGGCGUAAAGGGUGCGUAGGUGGCGCUGUAAGUCGGGUGUGAAAUUUCGGAGCUUAACUCCGAAACUGCAUUCGAUACUGCCGUGCUUGAGGACUGGAGAGGAGACUGGAAUUUACGGUGUAGCAGUGAAAUGCGUAGAGAUCGUAAGGAAGACCAGUGGCGAAGGCGGGUCUCUGGACAGUUCCUGACACUGAGGCACGAAGGCCAGGGGAGCAAACGGG